CAGGUACUUACUAACUAGCGGGCUGGGUUCUCCCCUAGUGAUAGGCGUCCAGGUACUUACUAGCGGGCUGGGUUCUCCCCUAGUGAUAGGCGCCCAGGUACUUACUAGCGGGCUGGGUUCUCCCCUAGUGAUAGGCGCCCAGGUACUUACUAGCAGGCUGGGUUCUCCCCUGGUGAUAGACGGCCAGGUACUUACUAGCGGGCUGGGUUCUGCCCUGGUGAUGAGCAAGCUAAGAACAGGUGAGGGAUGUGGCAGAAAAAAACCUGUCUAACCACAGGCACUGACCCUGUCAGUGGCUUUUGGAUAAAAUCCUGGGAGAUAGCUCAAACU